UAACCUGCUAAAUAGUCCUGGUUAGACUCGCUCUAGCCAGCUGACUUCUUAGAGGGACUAUUCGAUUUUGUGCGAAUGGAAGCUUGAGGCAAUAACAGGUCUGUGAUGCCCUUAGAUGUUCUGGGCCGCACGCGCGUUACACUGACAAGUUCAACAAGUUCUUUUCCUUGCCUGAAAAGGCUGGGUAAUCUUCUGAAAGCUUGUCGUGCUGGGGAUAGAUGCUUGUAAUUAUUCAUCUUGAACCAGGAAUGCCUAGUAAGCGCACGUCAUCAACGUGCGCUGAUUACGUCCCUGUCCUUUGUACACACCGCCCGUCGCU
rnacentral:rRNA from 1 species